rnacentral:rRNA from 1 species
UACUGUGUCUAAAUACUCUGAAAGCAACAGAUUCUAUCUGAUCUUGGAAGCCAAGCAGGGUCUGGUUUGGUUAGUAUUUGGAAGGGGGACCACCAAAGAAUAGCAGGUGGGAUUUCAGAGG